UACGAAGGGGGCUAGCGUUGCUCGGAAUCACUGGGCGUAAAGGGCGCGUAGGCGGCCAUUCAAGUCGGAGGUGAAAGCCCAGGGCUCAACCCUGGAAUUGCCUUCGAUACUGUUUGGCUAGAGACCGGAAGAGGUAAGUGGAACUGCGAGUGUAGAGGUGAAAUUCGUAGAUAUUCGCAAGAACACCAGUGGCGAAGGCGGCUUACUGGUCCGGUACUGACGCUGAGGUGCGAAAGCGUGGGGAGCAAACAGG
rnacentral:rRNA from 1 species